GACAGAGGUGCCGAGCGUUGUUCGGAUUCAUUGGGCGUAAAGGGUGCGUAGGUGGCGCCAUAAGUCAGGUGUGAAAUCUCGGGGCUCAACCCCGAAACUGCAUUUGAUACUGUGAUGCUCGAGUACUGGAGAGGAGAUUGGAAUUUACGGUGUAGCAGUGAAAUGCGUAGAUAUCGUAAGGAAGACCAGUGGCGAAGGCGAAUCUCUGGACAGUUACUGACACUGAGGCACGAAGGCCAGGGGAGCAAACGGG
rnacentral:rRNA from 1 species